AGUGAACGCUGGCGGUAGGCCUAACACAUGCAAGUCGAACGGCAGCACAGUAAGAGCUUGCUCUUACGGGUGGCGAGUGGCGGACGGGUGAGGAAUACAUCGGAAUCUACUUUUUCGUGGGGGAUAACGUAGGGAAACUUACGCUAAUACCUCAUACGACCUACGGGUGAAAGCAGGGGAUCUUCGGACCUUGCGCGAUUGAAUGAGCCGAUGUCGGAUUAGCUAGUUGGCGGGGUAAAGGCCCACCAAGGCGACGAUCCGUAGCUGGUCUGAGAGGAUGAUCAGCCACACUGGAACUGAGACACGGUCCAGACUCCUACGGGAGGCAGCAGUGGGGAAUAUUGGACAAUGGGCGCAAGCCUGAUCCAGCCAUACCGCGUGGGUGAAGAAGGCCUUCGGGUUGUAAAGCCCUUUUGUUGGGAAAGAAAAGCAGCAGGUUAAUACCCCGCUGUUCUGACGGUACCCAAAGAAUAAGCACCGGCUAACUUCAUG
rnacentral:rRNA from 1 species